rnacentral:rRNA from 1 species
UACGAAGGGUGCAAGCGUUAAUCGGAAUUACUGGGCGUAAAGGGCGCGUAGGUGGCCUUCUAAGUUGAACGUGAAAUCCCUGGGCUCAACCCAGGAACUGCGUCCAAGACUGGGAGGCUUGAAUCCGGGAGAGGGAUGCGGAAUUCCAGGUGUAGCGGUGAAAUGCGUAGAUAUCUGGAGGAACACCGGUGGCGAAGGCGGCAUCCUGGACCGGUAUUGACACUGAGGCGCGAAAGCCAGGGGAGCAAACGGG